GACGAACGCUGGCGGCGUGCCUAAUACAUGCAAGUUGAGCGAUGAAGCUUGGUGCUUGCACCAAUUUGAAGAGCAGCGAACGGGUGAGUAACGCGUGGGGAAUCUGCCUUUGAGCGGGGGACAACAUUUGGAAACGAAUGCUAAUACCGCAUAAUAACUUUAAACAUAAGUUUUAAGUUUGAAAGAUGCAAUUGCAUCACUCAAAGAUGAUCCCGCGUUGUAUUAGCUAGUUGGUGAGGUAAAGGCUCACCAAGGCGAUGAUACAUAGCCGACCUGAGAGGGUGAUCGGCCACAUUGGGACUGAGACACGGCCCAAACUCCUACGGGAGGCAGCAGUAGGGAAUCUUCGGCAAUAGACGAAAGUCUGACCGAGCAACGCCGCGUGAGUGAAGAAGGUUUUCGGAUCGUAAAACUCUGUUGGUAGAGAAGAACGUUGGUGAGAGUGGAAAGCUCAUCAAGUGACGGUAACUACCCAGAAAGGGACGGCUAACUACGUG
rnacentral:rRNA from 1 species